UACAGAGAUGGCGAGCGUUACUCGGAUUUAUUGGGUGUAAAGGGCAGGUAGGUGUUUUGCCAAGUUGUAAGUGAAAUCCUAAGGCUUAACCUUAGAACUGCUUACAAAACUGGCAAAAUUGAGAUUGGUAGAGGAAAGCGGAAUUCCCGGUGUAAGGGUGAAAUCUGUAGAUAUCGGGAGGAACACCAGUGGCGAAAGCGGCUUUCUGGACCAAUUCUGACGCUAAGCUGCGAAAGCUCGGGGAG
rnacentral:rRNA from 1 species